rnacentral:rRNA from 1 species
GACGAACGCUGGCGGCGUGCUUAACACAUGCAAGUCGUACGGUAAGGCCCUUUCGGGGGUACACGAGUGGCGAACGGGUGAGUAACACGUGAGUAACCUGCCCACAACUUUGGGAUAACGCUAGGAAACUGGUGCUAAUACUGGAUAUGUGCUCCUGCUGCAUGGUGGGGGUUGGAAAGCUCCGGCGGUUGUGGAUGGACUCGCGGCCUAUCAGCUUGUUGGUGGGGUAGUGGCCUACCAAGGCGGCGACGGGUAGCCGGCCUGAGAGGGUGACCGGCCACAUUGGGUCUGAGAUACGGCCCAGACUCCGACGGGAGGCAGCAGUGGGGAAUAUUGCACAAUGGGCGCAAGCCGGAUGCAGCAACGCCGCGUGCGGGAUGACGGCCUUCGGGUUGUAAACCGCUUUCAGCAGGGACGAAGCUUUUUGUGACGGUACCUGCAGAAGAAGCACCGGCUAACUACGUG